rnacentral:lncRNA from 1 species
UAGCAUGUUCUCCCUUAUCCCUUCCCCUGUCUCAAUGAAUGUUUACCUUUUCCUGUAUGCUACUACCAUGCAUCCAUGUCUGCUUGGCUACUUGUUUAGCCUAAAAUCGUUGUUUGAAGCUAAGUGUAUUAGAGUUUGGUGAAGGAAUUGAACCCCUGUCUUGCAAUCAUGUCUAAUUAUUUUUCCUCCAAUAUGUUGUCUGUAUAUUAGUAGUUCACUUUACUUAUUUUUCCCCUUUAGCCAUUGCCCCAUGUUUGUGUGAUGCCCUGUUAUUCUGAAACUGAUCAGUCUAAAAAUAAUUCCAAAAGAACUUUUUCAACUCUUUCAAUUGUUUCUUAAAAUUGUCUAAACUUUUCAAUUCUUCCAAC